rnacentral:rRNA from 1 species
GUGGGGAAAUGACGCUGGCGGCGNGCUUACACAUGCCAGCGAUUUACACGAGGUUGCUUCGGUAACUGAGGCUAUUUAACGGACGGGUGAGUAAUGCUUAGGAAUCUGCCUAUUAGUGGGGGACAACAUUCCGAAAGGAAUGCUAAUACCGCAUACGCCCUACGGGGGAAAGCAGGGGAUCAUUCGGACCUUGCGCUAAUAGAUGAGCCUAAGUCAGAUUAGCUAGUUGGUGGGGUAAAGGCCUACCAAGGCGACGAUCUAGCGGGUCUGAGAGGAUGAUCCGCCACACUGGGACUGAGACACGGCCCAGACUCCUACGGGAGGCAGCAGUGGGGAAUAUUGGACAAUGGGCGGAAGCCUGAUCCAGCCAUGCCGCGUGUGUUGUGAAGAAGGCCUUUUGGUUGUAAAGCACUUUAAGCGAGGAGGAGGCUACUGGUAUUAAUACUACCGGAUAGUGGACGUUACUCGCAGAAUAAGCACCGGCUAACUCUGUGCCAGCAGCCGCGGUAAUACAGAGGGUGCGAGCGUUAAUCGGAUUUACUGGGCGUAAAGCGUGCGUAGGCGGCUUUUUAAGUCGGAUGUGAAAUCCCUGAGCUUAACUUAGGAAUUGCAUUCGAUACUGGGAAGCUAGAGUAUGGGAGAGGAUGGUAGAAUUCCAGGUG